CCACUUUAACUUGAAAACCUCAAAUAUUCCUUUUCUGAAAGUCCCCCAGCCACUUCCUGAGAGCAGGAAUUUCUCGCCAGCCCCCUCUUCUCAAAUGCCAGCUUCCCUCCGUGUGGCUUGGAUGCCUCAAACUCAACACCCUCAUCGCCUUCAUUUCUGUCUUCCUCACAGAAGCCACAUGGCUCCGUGUGAGGCCUACACACAGCAGAGACAGACAUGAACUGGAAGACUCCAGAGGAGGUGUCUGCCUGGGAGCAGAGAUGGUAGGACCUGGGGCUGCUGCCUCACUGGGGAAGAGCUGGGUCCCAGGUGAGGACGUCUGGGCCCGGUUCUGAUCUGGCCCAGGCUGGCUCACAGACAGACAAUAUCAAUGUUCUGCGGUUCAGGCCAGGAUACAGAAAGCAUGGGAUAGAGCGGGAGCCUAGAGGAAUGUGACUCACCCAGCUGGGGGUGUUCAGAGAAAACAGGGAAAGGUAAAGUGUCCUGGACUCAGCUGGGGCUUGAAGAAUGAGAAGCUCUUGGCCAGGUGGAGGAAGGGAAGAAAGGAGUGUUUCAGGCAGGUAGUCCACUGGCCUACGUCUGGUACCUCUGCAAAUUAGACAGAGGUGCCCCCUCUGGGCAAAUGUAGACAGUGACAGAGAGGCCUGCACAUGUGAAGCUUGGCGUGCUCUGUGGCAGCAGAGAAUGGUCUUGAUGUCUAAGCCCUAAUCCCCGGACCCUGAGCAUCGGCUUGUGGCUGUGAUGAAGGACCUUGAGACGGAGCGCGUCUCCUGGAUGAUCUAAGCUAGCCCUGAGUGAUCACCAUGACCCUUCUAAGAGGGAGGCGGAGAGAGAGGUCAGUGUCAGAGAGAGAUGUGAUGACAGGAGCAGAGGUCAGGAAGAUUCGAAGAUGCUCCUCGGUGGCUUUGCAGAUGCAGGGAGGGCCAGGAACCAAGGAAUCAGGAGGCUUUUUGAAGCUGGGAAAGGCAAGCCAGUGGAUUCUUUCUCGGAAGCUCCAGAAGGAAUGCAGCCCUGCUGCCACCUUGGCUUUCAUCCUUUAAGACCCAUGUUUGGACUCCUGACCUCCAGAACUGUGAAGUUCUGAAACUUCCUACUAUUGGGUGAUUCAGUCUUUCAAAGCGAGAUUUGAAAGUGGGACUUCCAGUCGUCAGAAGCCAUCAGAACGCUCUCUUACUCACUUUCCCAAGUGAAGAAACAGAUUCAGACAAGGAGCUUCUUGUUCAGCAAACACUAUUUAGCCAAUAAUCUAAAUGGAAGUUAAUGAAGAAUUGUUUGACUCAGUGCUAUGGUCUGAAUGUUGUGUCCCUCCCAGAUUCAAAUUAAAAUCCUAACCCCAAGGAGGUGAUAUUAAGAGGUGGAGUCUUUGGAAGGUGAUUAUAUCAUGGAAGCGUCAUGAAUGGGAUUAGUGCCCUUAUAUAAAAGCCUCCUCACCCCUUCAACUAUGUGAGGACGUGGCAAGAAGAUGCCAUCUGUGAACGGGAAAGUAGGUCCUCAUCAAACUCCAAAUCUACCGACACCUUGAUCUUGGACUUCCCAGUCUCCAGAACCUUGAGAAAUAAAUUUCUGCUGUUUAUAAGAUGCUUGGCUUAUGGUAAUUUGUUAUAGCACCCUGAAUGGACU